CUUGAAGAAAAUUGCCGUGAAAUCUUUCUGAGAGCAGCAUCUCUCUGGCAUAGGCUCGGCCUGAAAAAGCUCACAUUGCUAUCUCUUUCUGUGAUGCAUUGAUGGAUUAUUUUUGUGGGAAACGGGUUUACAUCCUCUGAAGUAGGGAGCAUACAUUUUCCACAUUUUUCCAGAAAAGCUCCUAAGAUCUUCCAUCCCAUAUUUGCUGCAGGGGGAACCUACAGACCAAUGCAAGCUCCACAGAAGUGCCUCCUCCACUCUACUUCAAGAUCUGGCUAAUUGGAAAAUCAUCUUGAAUUAUAUUCCAAGAUUUGGAUGAAAAGGUGACAAAUCACUGCAAAUUUGAAAUGAGAUCCAUCCUGAGAAAAGAGAAGAAGC
rnacentral:lncRNA from 1 species